rnacentral:rRNA from 1 species
UGGGGAAUAUUGGACAAUGGGCGCAAGCCUGAUCCAGCCAUGCCGCGUGAGUGAAGAAGGCCUUCGGGUUGUAAAGCUCUUUUGUCCGGAAAGAAAAGCCUUUGAUUAAUACUCAGGGGUUAUGACGGUACCGGAAGAAUAAGCACCGGCUAACUUCGUGCCAGCAGCCGCGGUAAUACGAAGGGUGCAAGCGUUACUCGGAAUUACUGGGCGUAAAGCGUGCGUAGGUGGUUCGUUAAGUCUGAUGUGAAAGCCCUGGGCUCAACCUGGGAACUGCAUUGGAUACUGGCGGUCUAGAGUGCGGUAGAGGGUGGCGGAAUUCCCGGUGUAGCAGUGAAAUGCGUAGAUAUCGGGAGGAACAUCCGUGGCGAAGGCGGCCACCUGGACCAGCACUGACACUGAGGCACGAAAGCGUGGGGAGCAAACA